rnacentral:rRNA from 1 species
GAUGAACGCUGGCGGCGUGCCUAAUACAUGCAAGUCGAGCGAACGGACGAGAAGCUUGCUUCUCUUAUGUUAGCGGCGGACGGGUGAGUAACACGUGGAUAACCUACCUAUAAGACUGGGAUAACUUCGGGAACCCGUAGCUAAUACCGGAUAAUAUUUUGAACCUCAUGGUUCAAAAGUGAAAGACGUUCUUGCUGUCACUUAUAGAUGGAUCCGCGCUGCAUUAGCUAGUUGGUAAGGUAACGGCUUACCAAGGCAACGAUGCAUAGCCGACCUGAGAGGGUGAUCGGCCACACUGGAACUGAGACACGGUCCAGACUCCUACGGGAGGCAGCAGUAGGGAAUCUUCCGCAAUGGGCGAAAGCCUGACGGAGCAACGCCGCGUGAGUGAUGAAGGUCUUCGGAUCGUAAAACUCUGUUAUUAGGGAAGAACAUAUGUGUAAGUAACUGUGCACAUCUUGACGGUACCUAAUCAGAAAGCCACGGCUAACUACGUG